GCCGCUUGGCAUGUGGGGAAGAAGAAACUCUUUAUAUAAUAGGUAACAUUGAUUUUGAGUCUUUGACCAUGCUUUUGCAGAUCAUGCCUGAAAUUGGUUACCAAUUAUUGUACAACUAUGCUGACCAAAUUCAAAACUGGGUUGGAUCUGCAACGUUUAUUCUCAAGCUUCAAGAUCAUUUACCAGGAACCAGAGGAGAUGAAGCCGAUGGCUGCCAAUGAAAUUCUGAAAGAUGGUGCUUUUAUAUGUUCUUUUCCUUUAUACGUCAUCUUUAGACAGACUUGUUAUUCUUUUAACUUCGCCUUACAUUAACAGCUUACUCAAGGAAGGCAAAUGUAUAAAUGUUUAUACUUCAAGGCUUCAAGCCACUCUAUGAGAUCAUUACUAUGUGGAAUCCAUUCAACACCAAGUUGAUCAUGAUAUUUGAAUUAAACUGCAUGGAAGACCAUCUUCAUCGUGCAAGCUUGAGCUCUUAUCCAACAAUUAGUUGAAUUUAUAUUUAAGUGAUUUUUCUUUAGAAUUAUUUUACGGAUGUUUAAGUUAUACAAUCCAUGAAUUUCUAUAUAAAAAAAUUACA